rnacentral:rRNA from 1 species
GAGUUUGAUCGUGGCUCAGGACGAACGCUGGCGGCGUGCCUAAUACAUGCAAGUCGAGCGAGGGUUUUUAAGACCCUAGCGGCGGACGGGUGAGUAACACGUAGGCAACCUGCCUCUCAGACCGGGAUAACAUAGGGAAACUUAUGCUAAUACCGGAUAGGUUUUUGGAUCGCAUGAUCCGAAAAGAAAAGAUGGCUUUUCGCUAUCACUGGGAGAUGGGCCUGCGGCGCAUUAGCUAGUUGGUGGGUAACGGCCUACCAAGGCGACGAUGCGUAGCCGACCUGAGAGGGUGACCGGCCACACUGGGACUGAGACACGGCCAGACUCCUACGGGAGGCAGCAGUAGGGAAUUUUCCACAAUGGACGAAAGUCUGAUGGAGCAACGCCGCGUGAACGAUGAAGGUCUUCGGAUUGUAAAAGUUCUGUUGUCAGGGACGAACACGUACCGUUCGAAUAGGGCGGUACCUUGACGGUACCUGACGAGAAAGCCACGGCUAACUACGUGCCAGCAGCCGCGGU